UACGUAGGUGGCAAGCGUUGUCCGGAUUUACUGGGCGUAAAGAGCGCGCAGGCGGUCGUUUAAGUCGACUGUGAAAGCCCCCGGCUCAACUGGGGAGGGUCAUUCGAUACUGAUCGACUUGAAGGCAGGAGAGAGAAGUGGAAUUCCCGGUGUAGUGGUGAAAUGCGUAGAUAUCGGGAGGAACACCAGUGGCGAAGGCGACUUCUUGGCCUGUUCUUGACGCUGAGGCGCGAAAGCUGGGGGAGCAAACGGG
rnacentral:rRNA from 1 species